rnacentral:rRNA from 1 species
UGCAGUCGAGCGAUGGAUGAGAGCUUGCUCUCAAGAAGUUAGCGGCGGACGGGUGAGUAACACGUGGGUAACCUGCCCAUAAGACUGGGAUAACUCCGGGAAACCGGGGCUAAUACCGGAUAACAUUUUGAACCGCAUGGUUCGAAAUUGAAAGGCGGCUUCGGCUGUCACUUAUGGAUGGACCCGCGUCGCAUUAGCUAGUUGGUGAGGUAACGGCUCACCAAGGCAACGAUGCGUAGCCGACCUGAGAGGGUGAUCGGCCACACUGGGACUGAGACACGGCCCAGACUCCUACGGGAGGCAGCAGUAGGGAAUCUUCCGCAAUGGACGAAAGUCUGACGGAGCAACGCCGCGUGAGUGAUGAAGGCUUUCGGGUCGUAAAACUCUGUUGUUAGGGAAGAACAAGUG